rnacentral:lncRNA from 1 species
AAUUUACAUAGAUGAAAACAAAAUACGUGCCACACAGUAAUGCCUUAUUCUUUAUUUUUAUAGAAUGUUUCAGAUGAGAGGAUGAGAAGCAACAAGUAUCCAGUAUUCUGAAGGAUGUCAUUAUGGGGUUGCCUAGGUGACUCACUAGGAUGUAUCAUCAUGUUAUGCCUCAGACUCUUUUGGAUUCCAAUGCUGGAAGCCUGCCAUCUGAGUUCUGCUUAGGUUUGAAAAAAGAAAGAAAGAAAUUCUACUUUGUUUUCUACUUUUGGCAGCAGUGUCUUCAGUACUAUGAAUGCCUGGAUUUCUGGUCAGUGUCAGAAGUGGUUCCAGAAGCAGAGUUGACAGCAGUUCCAGCUGCAACAGCAGGAGUGUGGGCUCCUGGGUACUGGGUAACACCAUUUUCUCUUUUCUUCUUUUCCUCCUUCAGCCCUAAGGACAGUAGCAGCUUCCUGCUGUUACUGAUCCGGGGUAAUAGGACGUUCCCGCUAUUGCUUCUUCAAUUUUCCAACACUUUUGUAACCAAUUUCCUGUAUUAAUUCUUCCGUUUAAAAGACUAAAUGUGGUUUUCUAUUUUUCUAACUGGUCACUGACUUAUAAGUCCUUCUUUAACGUUAUUUGGAAUUUUAAAGUAAGUUAAACAUUGUGACUAAAAGCAAGUACCUGGUAAUGUAGAAUAUGCUUUCUUAAGUGACAUGUACUUGAUCUUCCCACCACUUGAACCUUUAAGACUCCAAAUGCACACCAAGAAUUUUUAAAAAUUCUUUUUACAAACCUUUGCAAUAAGUGCCAUUAUAUGUUUACAACCUGGUUUUCCUUCUUGUUGCUGUCAUCUAUUGACCUUCAAUUCAUUCGUUGAUUAAUUUGUAACUGGUUAAGUAUUUUCCUCUCCCUCCCACUCCCACCGUCAUUUUGGUGACCUCAGUGUCUGUGAAAGUGAUCUAACUCACAACAUUUUGUCCUCUCAGUUUUCUCAUCUCCUCACUCUAGUGAUCAUUUUCUACAUCUCUUAUUAGCCACCAACUCCCAUUAUUCACUUGCCUUUUUCAUUCACAAAUAUAGCCUCCAUAUCAAGUAUGUUGCUUUCUGACCACCACCUUCUAUUUUUCUACCUGGUAUACUUUACUACUAACAUUUCAGCAUUUAUUGUGUUUUAUUUUGCCACUAAUCCACUGACCCUUGUUACUACUACUACUCACUGUCCACAUAUCUAUUGUGCUCUAAUUUCUCAUCAAACAACCUUAGAUUUUAUGAUGUACCAUUAAAAUCAUCCCCUUUCAAAAGCUUAUGACUACUUGUGAUUUUUUUCGCUUUCCUUGUCUGGCAAGCUUAAUGCUGGUUGAACCCAACUAUCUACCUAAUUCCUGCUUAAAUGUUGCUGAAUAUAUAACUGAAGAAAAAAAUAACCAUGCCAACUGGCCUCCUUUAAAAUUCAUGUUUUCAAAUGAGCACGUAAUACUGCCCAUAAUUUUACUAAACUUUCCUAAUGUGUUUGUUUUUCAUGUUCCUAAAAUGACUAUUUCACAGUUUCUUUUCUUA